GACGAACGCUGGCGGCGUGCUUAACACAUGCAAGUCGAACGGCAAGGCCCUGCUUUUGUGGGGUGCUCGAGUGGCGAACGGGUGCGUAACACGUGAGUAACCUGCCCUUGACUUUGGUAUAACUUCAGGAAACUGGGGCUAAUACCGUAUAGGAGCUCCUGCUGCAUUGUGGGGGUUGGAUAGUUUCGGCUGUUGGGGAUGGACUCGCGGCUUAUCAGUUUGUUGGUGGGGUAGUGGCUUACCAAGGCUUUGGCGGAUAGCCGGCAUGAGAGGGUGAACGGCGACAUGGGGACUGAGAUACGGAGCAGACUCCUACGGGAGGCAGCAGGGGGGAAUAUUGCACAAUGGGCGGAAGCCUGAGGCAGAAACGCCGCGUGCGGGAUGACGGCCUUCGGGUUGUAAACCGCUGUAGCCUGUGACGAAGCGGGAGUGACGGUAAUGGGUAAAGAAGCACCGGCUAACUACGUG
rnacentral:rRNA from 1 species